AGUGGAAGCGUCUGGAAAGGCGCGCGAUACAGGGUGACAGCCCCGUACACAAAAAUACACAUAUUGUGAGCUCGAUGAGUAGGGCGGGACACGUGGUAUCCUGUCUGAAUAUGGGGGGACCAUCCUCCAAGGCUAAAUACUCCUGACUGACCGAUAGUGAACCAGUACCGUGAGGGAAAGGCGAAAAGAACCCCGGCGAGGGGAGUGAAAAAGAACCUGAAACCGUGUACGUACAAGCAGUGGGAGCACGCUUAGGCGUGUGACUGCGUACCUUUUGUAUAAUGGGUCAGCGACUUAUAUUCUGUAGCAAGGUUAACCGAAUAGGGGAGCCGAAGGGAAACCGAGUCUUAACUGGGCGUUAAGUUGCAGGGUAUAGACCCGAAACCCGGUGAUCUAGCCAUGGGCAGGUUGAAGGUUGGGUAACACUAACUGGAGGACCGAACCGACUAAUGUUGAAAAAUUAGCGGAUGACUUGUGGCUGGGGGUGAAAGGCCAAUCAAACCGGGAGAUAGCUGGUUCUCCCCGAAAGCUAUUUAGGUAGCGCCUCGUGAAUUCAUCUCCGGGGGUAGAGCACUGUUUCGGCA
rnacentral:rRNA from 1 species